UACGGAGGAUGCGGGCGUUAUCCGGAUUUAUUAGGUCUAAAGGGUGCGCAGGCGGCUUCUUAAGUCGGCGGUGAAAACCCGUGGCCCAACCACGGACGUGCCAUCGAUACUGAGGGGCUUGAGUAUGGGUGACGGAAGCGGAAUGAGUGGUGUAGCGGUGAAAUGCUUAGAUAUCACUCAGAACACCGAUUGCGAAGGCAGCUUCCGAACCCUUGACUGACGCUCAUGCACGAAAGCGCGGGUAGCGAAC
rnacentral:rRNA from 1 species